GCAGAUAACAGCUGGGUUUCUGCUGUCUUCAUUCAGCUCUGAGGAGGGAAAUCCCAGCUCAUAUCUCCAAUAAGUCAGCAGAUACAAGUACAAUGCUGGAGGAAGAAGAGAGGCAUCUGCUGAAGAGGCAUAUAGGCCAAUGGGGAAUCUCUGUAGGCCAAACCCAGCCUAUGGACCAGAGGUGCCUGAUUCCUGGUAUAAAUCUUAACUGUUGAGUGGAGACCAUUGGCAAUUGGCUCCCAGCUGUUCGUAUGCAUCACCAUUGCUGUCACUCACCUCUAGAGAUGUAGGAUCCCCCUGCAGAUCAUCCAUUAGGAGACACUUUAACAGUUUCAAAUCUUCCCAGUCUUCAGUUAAAGCCCAGGAGAAGACAUGAAGUGUCUCACUGCAUGAGGUUACAGCAAUGGAGAGCAGAAGGAAAGAAAGAAGGAAGAUAGAGCUCUUAGAAAAAAUAAUAAGCAAUAACUACUUGGCUAAAAUCACCCCC